CCCCUCUCAGAGUCACAUCUGGAGAGUUUUCAGUACUCUACCAGUCUUGGCUUUGGGAGGGAGAGUCCAACAGAGGCCUACCUUUCCAUUCCUAGCUUGGCCAGUGGCUAGCGAGUGGAAGGCAACGUGCCACAAGU